rnacentral:lncRNA from 1 species
UACUUACUAAUAUACUUAUACUACGAGGGAAAAUAAAAUAUAUAUGCAUCAAAAAUAAAAGCUGAGGGAAUCUUUCACAGUCUUCCCUCUGCUAAAAGAUGCAGAAGGAAUAUAUAUCAUGAUAUUUAUCAUAUCAUGUAAGCCUAUAUAUUCUGCUUUUAGAUGAUUGCUUUCCUGUAACAUCUUUCUUGAGCUUAUGAUUCAUCUAUAGACUAUAGCUGAAUAGCUGAAUCAGUUG